rnacentral:rRNA from 1 species
GACGAACGCUGGCGGCGUGCCUAAUACAUGCAAGUCGAGCGGACUUUCAAGAAGCUUGCUUUUUGAAGGUAACCGGGGACCGGUUGGGUAACCGGUGGGCACCCUCCCUGCAGGCCGGGGAUACCUCGGGAAAACGGGGCUAAUACCGGAUUAUAAUCUUCCUUGCAUGGAAGAAGGGUGAAAGGCGGGGCCAGGCUCCCGCUUGCAGUGGUCCCCGCGGCGCUUUAGCUAGUUGGUGAGGUAACGGCUCACCAAGGCGACGAUGCGUAGCCGACCUGAGAGGGUGAUCGGCCACACUGGGACUGAGACACGGCCCAGACUCCUACGGGAGGCAGCAGUAGGGAAUCUUCCGCAAUGGACGAAAGUCUGACGGAGCAACGCCGCGUGAGCGAAGAAGGUCUUCGGAUCGUAAAGCUCUGUUGUCAGGGAAGAACAAGUACCGUUCGAACAGGGCGGUACCUUGACGGUACCUGACCAGAAAGCCACGGCUAACUACGUG